GCUUGUCUCAAGAUUAAGCCAUGCAUGUCUAAGUAUAAACAAAUCUAUACUGUGAAACUGCGAAUGGCUCAUUAUAUCAGUUAUAGUUUAUUUGAUGGUUCUUACUACUUGGAUAACCGUAGUAAUUCUAGAGCUAAUACAUGCGUAAAUACCCAACUGCUUGUCGGACGGGUAGCAUUUAUUAGAUUGAAACCAAUGCAGCUUCGGCUGGUAUUGUGUUGAGUCAUAAUAACUGUGCGGAUCGCUUUUUAAGCGAUAAAUCGAUUGAGUUUCUGCCCUAUCAGCUUUGGAUGGUAGGAUAUGGGCCUACCAUGGCGUUAACGGGUAACGGGGAAUUAGGGUUUGAUUCCGGAGAGGGAGCCUUAGAAACGGCUACCACAUCCAAGGAAGGCAGCAGG
rnacentral:rRNA from 1 species